UCGAAAUAAAAACAUAAAUUCUGGGCGAUUUCAAAAUAAAUAAAAACUAAAAGGAUUAAAUUGCAACACGCGCCAAACAUAGAGGGACCAAAACAGUAAAUAAGCCGAAGCCCCGAAAACGCGGCGCAACAGUGGGCCAAAUUGGAACAAAAAUAAAAUUCUGGAGCUAAAUUAAAAAAUAAAAGGAAAAAGCGAAAUAGGACUAAAUUGAAACACGCCACAAAUCAGAGGGACUGCACGCGUAAAUAACCCCCUUAGCGAAAACGCGCGAAUCCUCCCUCAGGGCCGGGUCACCGCCCGGGUCAGAGACCAAAACGACGCCGUUUUGGUCUCUGAACCCUAAACUCAAAAACGGCGCCGUUUUACAGGGUAUUUAAACCCAUUUUUACAUGAAAAAAAAAAACACUUCAGCCGUUUUUAAAAAAAAAAAUAAAAGGGGAGCCCCUUUUCCCCCUAAGAAAUCCGGCCAUGUGGGGUUCCUUGGCCCUUGUUGCGCCGCCGCUCGGCUCGCCGCACCGCCACCACCUCCGACGGCCGACGAACACCAGAUCGGCUAAUUAAACCCCGUCCCGGUACUUGAUGGUGCAAGUGUGGUGAUGGCGAUGGGACGUGCGCGGCGGCCAGCAGAGCGGCGGCGGCAGUAGAGGCGACGCCGAAGUCAGAAGACAGAGAGCCCUAGGUGCGGCGCACCUAGGGUUUUGUUUAUUUUUGUUCUUUUGUGAUUUGGGCUAUUAUGGCUUGUUUUUGGGCAUUGGGCUUGGUUUAAUUGUAAUUGGGCUGAUGGGGUUUUUAGAUUAGGUGGGUUUGGUACUGAAAUUUUGGGUAGUGGGCCCGGGCAAUAUAUUGGGCUAUACAUACGGUUUUGAUUCAUUUUCAUCUAGCCCAAACCUAAAAUAAAAACAACCAUUACCCAAUCCAACUACCCCUAAAAUAUAA